CCGGGCCUAUGUUUCUUCAUAUACCCCCAAUGUAUGUUAUAGAAUGUAAUAAAUGGGCCUUUGUGCCUAUAAACCUAUACAACUUUCAGCAACGGAUCUCUUGGCUCUCGCAUCGAUGAAGAACGCAGCGAAAUGCGAUAAGUAAUGUGAAUUGCAGAAUUCAGUGAAUCAUCGAAUCUUUGAACGCACCUUGCGCUCCUUGGUAUUCCGAGGAGCAUGCCUGUUUGAGUGUCAUUAAUAUAUCAACCUCUUCAAGUUUUGCUUGUUGAGUGUUUGGAUGUGGGGGGUUCUUUUGCUGGUCUCUCUUUUUGAGGUCGGCUCCCCUGAAAUGCAUUAGCGGAACAAUUUGUUGACCGUUCAUUGGUGUGAUAAUUAUCUACGCUAUUGACGUGAAGCAGGUUCAGCUUCUAAUAGGUCCAUUGAUUUGGACAAAUUUUCAUUAAUGUGACCUCAAAUCAGGUAGGACUACCCGCUGAACUUAAGCAUAUCAAUAAGCGGAGGA
rnacentral:rRNA from 1 species